rnacentral:rRNA from 1 species
UACAGAGGGGGCAAGCGUUGUUCGGAUUUACUGGGCGUAAAGGGCGCGUAGGCGGCCACCGCAAGUCAAUUGUGAAAUCUCCGGGCUCAACCCGGAACGGUCAACUGAUACUGCGGGGCUAGAGUGCAGAAGGGGCAACUGGAAUUCUCGGUGUAGCGGUGAAAUGCGUAGAUAUCGAGAGGAACACCUGCGGCGAAGGCGGGUUGCUGGGCUGACACUGACGCUGACAGCGCGAAAGCUAGGGGAGCGAACGGG